rnacentral:snRNA from 1 species
AGCUUUGCGCAGUGGCAGUAUCGUAGCCAAUGAGUUUAUCCAAGUCAUGAUUAUUGCUAAUUGAAAACUUUUACCAAUACCCCACCGUGAGGACUUGGAAUGUAGUUGCCACUGGCAAUUUUUGACAGUCUCUAUGGAGA